CCUACGGGAGGCAGCAGUGAGGAAUAUUGGUCAAUGGACGAGAGUCUGAACCAGCCAAGUAGCGUGAAGGAUGACUGCCCUAUGGGUUGUAAACUUCUUUUAUAAAGGAAUAAAACGAGGCACGUGUGCCUUUUUGCAUGUACUUUAUGAAUAAGGCUCGGCUAACUCCGUGCCAGCAGCCGCGGUAAUACGGAGGAUCCGAGCGUUAUCCGGAUUUAUUGGGUUUAAAGGGAGCGUAGAUGGGUUGUUAAGUCAGUUGUGAAAGUUUGCGGCUCAACCGUAAAAUUGCAAUUGAUACUGGCAGUCUUGAGGACAGUAGAGGUAGGCGGAAUUCGUGGUGUAGCGGUGAAAUGCUUAGAUAGCACGAAGAACCCCGAUUGCGAAGGCAGCUUACGAAACUGUGACUGACAUUGAUGCUCGAAAGUGUGGGUAUCAAACAGGAUUAGAUACCCCAGUAGUC
rnacentral:rRNA from 1 species